rnacentral:rRNA from 1 species
AUUGAACGCUAGCGGGAUGCCUUACACAUGCAAGUCGAACGGCAGCGCGGACUUCGGUCUGGCGGCGAGAGGCGAACGGGUGAGUAAUGUAUCGGGACGUGCCCAGUAGCGGGGGAUAACUACUCGAAAGAGUAGCUAAUACCGCAUACGCCCUACGGGGGAAAGGGGGGGAUCGCAAGACCUCUCACUAUUGGAGCGGCCGAAAUCGGAUUAGCUAGUUGGUGAGGUAAAGGCUCACCAAGGCGACGAUCCGUAGCUGGUUUGAGAGGACGACCAGCCACACUGGGACUGAGACACGGCCCAGACUCCUACGGGAGGCAGCAGUGGGGAAUUUUGGACAAUGGGGGCAACCCUGAUCCAGCCAUUCCGCGUGUGCGAUGAAGGCCUUCGGGUUGUAAAGCACUUUUGGCAGGAAAGAAAUCGCACGGAUUAAUACUCUGUGUGGAUGACGGUACCUGCAGAAUAAGCACCGGCUAACUACGUGCCAGCAGCCGCAGUAA